AGCGGGGUUAUCUGGAGAAGAGCAUCGCAUUCCGCCCUUUUAAUGCCGUCAAAAUCAAGCACGAGCCCUUCGUUUCUUUGGUGCUCCCGUCCCGUCCCAUCCCCAUCUACCUACCGUGGACGGUGCCAGAAGAGGACCAGUCACAGCCUGCACUUGCACUGCACAUGAUCGCCUAUUUAAGCUUCUCCUGUUCUCGCCCACCCCGCUCCACCCCAUUCCCACUCUCUCCCAGCAGCGGCACGUCAUCAUCUUCCUCCCCCUCGCCGUCCGCGUGUACGUCCAACAGAGGCUGGGAACUUUAAAGCGGAACAGGGUUCAUGGAGGGUGGAGGCGCAAGAAAUGUUUCUGCAGCGGCAGCACAGACAAAGGGAAGUGCGGAUGAUGGCUCCUGCAAGCCACUGCCUCCUUGCUGUGUCAAGGCGCAGGCUGCUGCGCCGGAAUCCGAGGCCAAGUGCCACGCAACUGUGGUGUCCGGGUGGUUCACAGGAACCCGCUCACGCUCUGGUAAACCAAGCAAAGCGCAGUACUUCAACAAUCCAAUGUGGCCUGGGGAGGCUCAUUCGUUGAAAGUAGAGAAGAUUUUGUACCAGGGGAAAUCGCCAUACCAAGAAGUUUUAGUAUUCGAGUCUUCAACCUAUGGGAAUGUCCUUGUGCUCGAUGGAAUUGUUCAGCUGACUGACAAGGAUGAAUGUGCAUACCAGGAAAUGGUUACUCACCUUGCACUGUGCUCAAUUCCAUCUCCUAAAAAUGUUUUGGUUGUCGGGGGUGGUGAUGGUGGUGUACUACGAGAAAUAGCCAAGCAUGACUCAGUGGAGACUAUAGACAUAUGCGAGAUUGAUCAGCUAGUUAUUGAUGUUUGUAAAGAUUUUUUCCCACGUCUGUAUGUUGGAUAUAAAGACCCUCGUGUCCGACUUCAUGUUGGUGAUGCUGUGGAGUUCUUGAGAAAUUCUCCAGAAGGAAAAUACGAUGCCAUUAUUGUUGAUUCAUCAGACCCAAUUGGGCCAGCUCAGGAGCUUGUGGAGAAGCCCUUCUUUCAGACAAUUGCUAGGGCUUUAAAGCCUGGCGGUGUUCUUUCUAAUCUAGCUGAAAGUAUGUGGCUGCACACACAUCUAAUCCAGGAUAUGCUUUCUAUCUGUCGGGAGGUAUUCAAGGGUGGCGUGCACUAUGCCUGGGCGAGUGUUCCGACAUAUCCUAGUGGUGUCAUUGGAUUUUUGCUAUGCGCGAAGGACGGUCCACCGGUGGACUUCCUGACUCCUGUGAACCCAAUCGAGAAAAUUGAAGGAGCUACUAAAGAUGGACGAGAGAUGAGAUUUUACAAUUCAGAGAUUCAUAGGGCUGCUUUUAUUCUGCCAACGUUUGUAAAGAGGGAGCUGGAGGCAUAUAACACUUCCACUGAAAAGGAGAAACCGGAGAAGCCAGCAGCAAAACCAGUGAAGAUGAAGGUAAUGCGGGACAGCGCAAUUACCGCUUCCUAGACUGUGGGCAGAUGCCCAUGCUCGUAUGCUAUUCAUCUUCCCCGACGAGACCCGCCGCGCUGUACAUCCGCGUUCCAUGCCUGUCCUUUACUACCAGGUUUUAUUUCAGUAGUUACAUGAUUCUGUGGUGCUCUAGCAUAGUUGCGUGGCAGAACUGAGAGUAGAAUGUCACUGAGUGUGUAUGGUGUGUUAUAGUUGGUGAAUAAAGGAGCGAACAGAAGUGAAUGUGUGAUGUGUUACCCUGAUCUGUAAUAGUAUGAUGUUUCAUUGUUACGUGUGCUCUCGUGGUUCAAGUAGCAGGACCGGCUAUGUUAUGAGUUUUUGACAUAUCAACAUGUCUAUACACAUCCGAUUGAUAAAAAAAAAGAGAACAUCCCUCCAUUCCAAAAUAAGUGUCUUAACUUUGUACUAACUUUAGUACAAAGUUGUACUAAGGUUAAGACACUUAUUUUAAGACGGAGGGAGUAUAUACUACUCCCUCCGUCCAGAAAUAUUUGUCAUCAAAAUAGAUAAAAGGAGAUGUAUCUAGAUGUAUUUUAGUUCUAGAUAUAUCCUUUUUUAUCUAUUUUAAUGACAAAUAUUUUCGGACGGAGGGAGUAUAUAAGUAAAAGAGUGUGAC
rnacentral:rRNA from 1 species